GACGAACGCUGGCGGCGUGCUUAACACAUGCAAGUCGAACGAUGAGCUUGGAGCUUGCUCUGGGGGAUUAGUGGCGAACGGGUGAGUAACACAUGAGUAACCUGCCCUGGACUCUGGGAUAACUUCGAGAAAUCGGAGCUAAUACCGGAUAGGACCUUGCACCGCAUGGUGUGGGGUGGAAAGGUUUUCGGUUUGGGAUGGACUCGCGGCCUAUCAGCUCGUUGGUGAGGUAAUGGCUCACCAAGGCGUCGACGGGUAGCCGGCCUGAGAGGGUGACCGGCCACACUGGGACUGAGACACGGCCCAGACUCCUACGGGAGGCAGCAGUGGGGAAUAUUGCACAAUGGGCGCAAGCCUGAUGCAGCAACGCCGCGUGCGGGAUGACGGCCUUCGGGUUGUAAACCGCUUUUAGUAGGGAAAAAGCCUUCGGGUGACGGUACCUGCAGAAAAAGGACCGGCUAACUACGUGCCAGCCGCCGCGGUAAUAC
rnacentral:rRNA from 1 species